rnacentral:tRNA from 1 species
GGCUGUAGCUCAGUGGUAGAGCACCGGCCUUGCACAUGUGAGGCACUGGGUUCGAUCCUCAGCACCA